AUGGAGCUUCAUCGCCCAGACGCGGGUGCUGGAUCCCGUCGCCCUCCGGUCGGAUCCGCGGCGGUGCUAGUCUCCGGCGAGUUUGACGGUGGAUGCGGAGCGCGGUGCCUGGAUCUACAACGCCAGCAGCUCCGGCGCCGUGACCCGGCCUCACAGGCUGGGCCAAGGCAAAGACUGCUCCCCGACGGCCAAGACACGGCCACAGUGAUGCAGCCUGUGGUCUACAUCGCCUACCACUCCGCCGUCUUCCGGAACCCCCACCACUUUCACGGCAGAUCUCCAAGUGGCGCGGACGAGACGGCGAUGUCGGCAGGAGGGCACUUUGCAGCCCCUGGCAUGAGGAGGAUGGGUGCACAUAGCCACCAAGCCCUCUGCUCCUCUUCUUCCAAGGCGAGCGAUCAACGACGCAUUGCUCCAGCAGACAACUUGGAGAAUAUGCUUAUUGGACAGGCUGCUUCUUGGCAGUGCAAAGUAAGGAGAACAAGACACACAACCAAGCAAUCAAAAUCUUUCCCAAGCCUAGAUAUUCUUGCUGAGAGCUCCUUGAUGGAAUCACUAAGAUGGACUUACAAGACAGGCAUGGAUAAAACCAUGAGGUCCUCAAAUGCAUAG
rnacentral:rRNA from 1 species